UACGUAGGGUGCGAGCGUUGUCCGGAAUUAUUGGGCGUAAAGAGCUUGUAGGCGGUUUGUCGCGUCUGCUGUGAAAAUCCGGGGCUCAACCCGGACUUGCAGUGGGUACGGGCAGACUAGAGUGUGGUAGGGGAGACUGGAAUUCCUGGUGUAGCGGUGAAAUGUGCAGAUAUCAGGAGGAACACCGGUGGCGAAGGCGGGUCUCUGGGCCGAUACUGACGCUGAGGAGCGAAAGCGUGGGGAGCGAACAGG
rnacentral:rRNA from 1 species